rnacentral:rRNA from 1 species
GACGAACGCUGGCGGCGCGCUUAACACAUGCAAGUCGAGCGAGAACCAGACCUUCGGGUCUGGGGAAAGCGGCGAACGGGUGAGUAACACGUGGGUAACCCACCCUUGGUACUGGGAUAGCCCGGGGAAACCCGGAUUAAUACCGGAUGGCCCAACAGCUCUUCGGGGCGGCUGGAAAAGGUAGCGUCGGCCUCCGACCAAGGACGGGCCCGCGGCGGAUUAGCUUGUUGGUGGGGUAACGGCCCACCAAGGCGACGAUCCGUAGCUGGUCUGAGAGGACGAUCAGCCACACUGGGACUGAGACACGGCCCAGACUCCUACGGGAGGCAGCAGUGGGGAAUCUUGCGCAAUGGGCGAAAGCCUGACGCAGCGACGCCGCGUGGGGGAAGAAGGCUUUCGGGUUGUAAACCCCUUUCAGGAGGGACGAAGCCACUCGGGUGAAUAGCCCAGAGGGUGACGGUACCUCCAGAAGAAGCCCCGGCUAACUACGUGCCAGCAGCCGCGGUAACAC